rnacentral:rRNA from 1 species
CCAAUAGCGUAUAUUAAAGUUGUUGCAGUUAAAAAGCUCGUAGUUGAACUUCGAGAUUCGUCCAUUGGUCAGGCUUAACUGUCUGUACUGAUGUUUCGGAUUUCUACCUUCUGAAGAACCUUCAUGCCAUUAAUUUGGUGUGUUGGGGAUUCAGGACUAUUACUUUGAAAAAAUUAGAGUGUUUAAAGCAGGCUAACGUCUGAAUACAUUAGCAUGGAAUAAUGAAAUAGGACGGUACGGUUCUAUUUUGUUGGUUUCUAGGAUCGCCGUAAUGAUUAAUCGGGAUAGUUGGGGGCAUUAGUAUUCAAUUGUCAGAGGUGAAAUUCUUGGAUUUAUUGAAGACUAACUACUGCGACAGCAUUUGCCAAGGAUGUUUUCAUUAAUCAAGAACGAAAGUUAAGGGAUCGAAGACGAUCAGAUACCGUCGUAGUCUUAACCAUAAACUAUGCCGACUAGGGAUUGGACGAUGUUAAUUUUUAAAUGACUCGUUCAGCACCUUACG